GUCUAUAUGAAGUUAUAUAAAGUCUAGCCUGCCCGUUGAAAUAAAUGAAAGGCCGCGGUAUAAUUAACUGUGCAAAGGUAGCAUAAUUAGUAGUCUUUUAAUUGAAGGCUUGUAUGAAGGGUUGGACAAAAAAUAAGCUGUUUCUAUUUUUGUUUUUGAAUUUGUCUUUUAAGUGAAAAGACUUAAAUUAUUUUAAGGGACGAUAAGACCCUAUAAAUCUUUAUAUUAAUAUGUUUUUAUUUAAGUUUUUUAUGUAUAUUAAAAUAAAAAUUAUAAGAUAUUGUAUUGGGGUGAUAAGAAUAAUGAAUAAACUGUUCUAAUUAUAAACAAAGUUAUUUGGAAAAUAAUAGAUCCUUUUUAGAGAUUAAGAGUUUAAGUUACUUUAGGGAUAACAGCGUUAUUUUUUUUGAGAGUUCUAAUCGAAAAAAAAGUUUGCGACCUCGAUGUUGAAUUAAAAUUUCUUUAUGGUGUAGCCGUUAUAAAAGAGAGUCUGUUCGACUUUUAAAAUUUU
rnacentral:rRNA from 1 species